UACGUAGGGGGCAAGCGUUGUCCGGAUUUAUUGGGCGUAAAGAGCGUGUAGGCGGUCAGGUAGGUCCGUUGUGAAAACUCGAGGCUCAACCUCGAGACGCCGGCGGAAACCAUCAGGCUAGAGUCCGGAAGAGGAGAGUGGAAUUCCGUGGUGUAGCGGUGAAAUGCGCAGAUAUCAGGAAGAACACCCGUGGCGAAAGCGGCUCUCUGGAACGGUACUGACGCUGAGACGCGAAACGUGGGAGCGAACAGG
rnacentral:rRNA from 1 species